rnacentral:rRNA from 1 species
UACGUAGGGGUCUAGCGUUGUCCGGAAUUACUGGGCGUAAAGCGCACGUAGGCGGACUACUAAGUCAGGGGUGAAAUCCCGGGGCUCAACCCCGGAACUGCCUUUGAUACUGAUAGUCUCGAGUCCGGAAGAGGUGAGUGGAAUUCCGAGUGUAGAGGUGAAAUUCGUAGAUAUUCGGAGGAACACCAGUGGCGAAGGCGGCUCACUGGUCCGGUACUGACGCUGAGGUGCGAAAGCGUGGGGAGCAAACAGG